AUACGGAGGGUGCAAGCGUUAUCCGGAAUCAUUGGGUUUAAAGGGUCCGUAGGCGGGCUAAUAAGUCAGGGGUGAAAUCCCACAGCUUAACUGUGGAACUGCCCUUGAUACUGUUGGUCUUGAGUUACAGUGAAGUGGCUAGAAUGUGUAGUGUAGCGGUGAAAUGCAUAGAGAUUACACAGAAUACCGAUUGCGAAGGCAGAUCACUAACUGUAUACUGACGCUAAUGGACGAAAGCGUGGGGAGCGAACAGGAUUAGAAACCCCAGUAGUCC
rnacentral:rRNA from 1 species